UGCUAAGCAAACACUACCACUAAGCUACAUCCCAGCCCUACAAUACUAACUUUGAUAUUAUGUGUUUUACUACAAUUUAAGAAAAAAAAAAAAAAAAAAAAAUAUAUAUAUAUAUAUAUAUAAAUAAUUAUAACUGUCUCAGGGGCUAUUAUUUGUCUUUUCUGUCUUCUUAUUCAAUCCCCUAUUGUUGAAUGACUCCACACCCCCAGGAACAGGAAGAGCCAAGUCCAAGAGCAAAGGAGUAUGGGGCAGCAAAACAUCUACAACUGCUGCUAGGCCAGCACUUCCACCUAAUGAAGGCUUGUCUGUUUCCACACCGUCCCCAAACACACCUGGUCCGGCCUUCUUCUGUGACAUCACACUUCAACAGCUGCUGCCUUUGGCCUACAAGCUCAAGUUCUAAGCCCUUGAGCCAGAAUUCAAGGCGCCCCCAUCUGCCCCACUCCAAUUCCCAACUGCCCUCUUUCCACCCGCCCUACAAACUGUUCCAACUGCCCAGCCAGUUCCCAGCCUUCCGAAGACGCCUUGCAGUCUCCCUCUCCUGGGGCCUGCCAGACACACGAAUUAAUCAUCGGUUAUCCCAGUUGCACACCUGUACGGAGAAGAGACCCUGGCAUGCGCAGAGCGAGCCAGCUGAGACUGGGCAAGCAAGAGGGACAGGGACACAGGCCAACAGGAGCCCAGCCUGGUAGUAGCCACGUGGCACCCUCCACUAUCCCGUGCCAGAUGGAGAAAGGAGGGGCAGAGUUGGGUUCCUGCAGGGCCGGCCAUCCAGGUUCUCCAGCCAAGUUACUUCCU
rnacentral:lncRNA from 1 species